AGAGAAGAGAUCUUAAAGCAGUAAAAGAGAGAGUGUGUGCUUUAUUUCAUCAUCGUAGGUAUUUAUAGGCAUUACAGUCGGGGUAAAGUAGUAAAUUCGUUUGGUCAUCUAUUCCGCAUGCUCGCCAUUAAACUAAUUAAGGCUAUUAUUAGAUUAUAACUUGUCAGGUCGUUGUCCCCUAAUUACAGAGCUGGAUUCUGUCCUCAUCAUCCCGCUCUGUCUAGUAGCUCUGGAUUUCCUUCCUUGGGGCAGACUUU
rnacentral:lncRNA from 1 species